rnacentral:lncRNA from 1 species
UGGAUGCCAGGCUUUCUAGGUAGCGCUCUCUCUUUGUGACGCUCUCAGCUACUGUUCCAGCACCAUGCCUGCCUGCCUGCUGCCAUGCUGCCUACCAUGAUGGUCAUGGACUCACCCUCUGACACUGGUUGGAUGGCGUGAAUGGGCGAGUAAGCAUAUAAGAGCUUCCUGCUGCUCUUGGGUCUUCUCACGUGGCCUGUUGCUGCUUUGUUCUGGGACUGGACUAUCAGAAGCAAACAACAUCUUGACGCAUGACGUUAACCUUACGUAAGACGGUCUCACCAGCCUUCUCGGUGCAGAGAAUUCUUCCCUCUCUACAGCCUGUGUACACUGUGGGAGUAGCAGAAUGAUAUACAGCCAACUGUUACUGAGCACCAGGCUGCAGAUACAAUGUAACCAGCCUGCGGUGCUUCCUGUGCCACGAUGGACCAACCACAUCCUCCAGCCGCGGGUGUAGAGUGAUGACGGAGGAUGAUGGAGUUGGUUCCCUGCUGGUGCUCGCGUCCUAUAAAAGCCAAUCCCUUACGAGCUGAUUGCCUUCCAUUAAAUUUGGGGUCGCUGCAUUCAUGCUCGCCUCCUGCUGCACACGGCUUCCUUGCUGCAACAUGUGAGCAAUACGCUGGACCCAAAAUACAAAGUUCAGGCUUUCCUGACCUGAGGAAGGAGUUUUCUCUGGGGUGGAGGACUGAAGAGCCACAGAAGAUGCGCAAGGCCAGUGACCAGCAGUGCACAAGCCAGCUGGUUCUAAGCCAGGGAGUACCCACACAGUUUUGUUUUCUUGCAGUGGAGUUUGCAAUCCACUGUAAACGGGACUGUAAACUCUACUAGAUACAUUUCUCACUAAGAUACUUUGAAGAAACACCUGGACAUACAUAUUAAGGACAAAGGCAGAAUAAGGGUCAAAAAUCUAAGGUCUCACUGCCUGCCAAACAUUGUAUCAAGUUCUGACUCCGUCUUGGGACAU